rnacentral:rRNA from 1 species
AAGUCAGAUGUGAAAUCCCCGGGCUCAACCUGGGAACUGCAUCUGAUACUGGAGAGCUAGAAUGUGGGAGAGGGAAGUGGAAUUUCCGGUGUAGCGGUGAAAUNCAUAGAGAUCGGAAGGAACAUCAGUGGCGAAGGCGACUUCCUGGACCAACAUUGACGCUGAGGCACGAAAGCGUGGGUAGCAAACAGGAUUAGAUNCCCUGGUAGUCCACGCCGUAAACGAUGUCAACUAGCCGUCGGCUCCAACUAAGGGGUCGGUGGUGCAGCUAACGCAUUAAGUUGACCGCCUGGGGAGUACGCGCGCAA